ensembl:lncRNA
AGCCCCAUAGCCGCCCAUAGAGCCCCAUAGAGCCCCAUAGAGCCCCGUAGAGCCCCAUAGCCGCCCCAUAGAGCCCCAUAGAGCCGCAUAGAGCCCCAUAGCCGCCCAUAGAGCCCCAUAGAGCCCCAUAGAGCCCCAUAGCCGCCCCUAGAGCCCCAUAGAGCCCCAUAGAGCCCCAUAGAGCCCUUAGAGCCCCAUAGCCGCCCCAUAGAGCCCCAUAGCCGCGCCAUAGAGCCCCAUAGAGCCCCAUAGAGCCCCAUAGAGCCCCAUAGCCGCCCCAUAGAGCCCCAUAGAGCCCCAUAGAGCCCCAUAGCCGCCCCAUAAGAGCCCCAUAAAGCCCCAUAGAGCCCCAUAGCCGCCCCGUAGAGCCCCAUAGAUCCCCAUAGAGCCCCAAAAGAGCCCAUUAGAGCCCCAUAGAGCCCCAUAGCUGCCCCAUGGAGCCCCAUAGAGCCCCAUAGAGCCCCGUAGAGCCCCAUAGCCUCCCCAUAGAGCCCCAUAGAGCCGCAUAGAGCCCCAUAGCCGCCCCAUAGAGCCCCAUAGAGCCCCAUAGAGCCCCAUAGCCGCCCCAUAGAGCCCCAUAGAGCCCCAUAGAGCCCCAUAGAGCCCCGUAGCCGCCCCAUAGAGCCCCAUAGAGCCCCAUAGAGCUCCAUAGAGCCCCAUAGCGCCCCAUAGAGCCCCAUAGAUCCCCAUAGAGCCCCAUAGAGCCCCAUACCCGCUUAUAGAGCCCCAUAGAGCCCCAUACCCGCCUUAUAGAGCCCCAGAAAGCCCCAGAGAGCCCCAUAGAGCCCCACAGAGCCCCAUAGAGCCCCAUAGCCGCCCCAUAGAGCCCCAUAGAGCCCCAAUAGAGCCCC